rnacentral:misc_RNA from 1 species
UUUCCGUAGGUGAACCUGCGGAAGGAUCAUUAUCGUAUAACUGAGGUGUUAGGUGGCUGUUGCUGACUUUUGAAAAAGGGUCGUGCACGCCCCUGCGCUCUCGUCUAUCCAUCUCACCCCUUUUGUGCAUCACCGCGUGAGGCCCCCCCUCUUUUUGAAAAAUAAAAAGGGAGGGUUCACGUUUUUAUUUUACACAAACACCUUUUUAAUGCAUGUCUAGAAUGUCUUUACUAUUUGCGCUCAUACGCAAUUAAUACAACUUUCAACAACGGAUCUCUUGGCUCUC